GACUAGGGGGCGGUGCCUCCCAUCGGUACAGUCAUCCUUCUGCCUGUUCGGCGGGACUGAUGGCCGGAGAGAUGACGAUCUUAGGUUCAGCUGUUUUGACUCUCCUCUUGGCGGGCUACUUGGCACAACAGUAUUUACCAUUGCCUACGCCAAAAGUGAUUGGCAUUGACCUGGGUACCACCUACUGUUCGGUUGGUGUAUUUUUUCCCGGGACAGGAAAAGUGAAGGUGAUUCCAGAUGAAAACGGGCAUAUCAGCAUCCCCAGCAUGGUGUCCUUCACGGACGGUGAUGUGUAUGUGGGCUAUGAGAGCCUAGAGCUGGCUGAUUCAAAUCCUCAAAACACAAUCUAUGAUGCCAAACGGUUCAUCGGGAAGAUCUUCACCCCGGAGGAGCUGGAGGCUGAAGUUGGCAGAUACCCAUUUAAGGUUUUACACAGAAAUGGGAUGGCUGAGUUUUCUGUGACAAGUAAUGAAACCAUCAUCGUUUCUCCAGAGUUUGUCGGCUCUCGAUUGCUGCUGAAGCUAAAGGAGAUGGCCGAGGAAUACCUCGGCAUGCCGGUUGCCAAUGCUGUCAUUUCUGUGCCUGCAGAAUUCGACCUACAACAGAGAAAUUCAACAAUCCAAGCUGCCAACCUUGCUGGGCUGAAGAUCUUGAGGGUGAUAAAUGAGCCUACAGCAGCAGCGAUGGCCUAUGGUCUCCACAAGGUUGACGUGUUCUACGUGUUGGUCAUAGACUUGGGUGGAGGAACUCUUGAUGUGUCGUUACUGAAUAAACAAGGAGGGAUGUUCCUAACACGAGCGAUGUCUGGAUUUCUAACCCUGCUAGGCACUGAUUAUCAAUAGUAGAAGAUAGAAAUGGAAAUAACAAUAAUAGCUGAGAUAAAACCGUUUCUAGAAUCUGAAAGAAACAACAAACUUGGAGGACAAGACUUCAAUCAGAGGCUGCUUCAGCAUUUAUAUAAAGAGAUCUAUCAAACGUACGGCUUUCUCCCUUCCAGGAAAGAGGAAAUCCACAGAUUAAGACAGGCGGUGGAGAUGGUCAAGCUAAACUUGACAAUUCAUCAGUCUGCCCAGGUAUCAGUUUUACUCACUGUGGAGGGGAAGGACAGCAAGGAACCUCAGAAUGGUGACUCUGAACUGCCAAAAGACCAGCUCACCCCAGGAGAUGGUCACCAUGUGAAUAGAGUGUUUAGACCUGGCCUUUCUGAAAGCAAGAGUGGAAAAAGUCAGGUUUUGUUUGAGACAGAAGUAUCCCGCAAGCUCUUUGAUGCCCUCAAUGAAGAUCUCUUUCAGAAAAUACUCGUACCCAUUCAGCAAGUAUUAAAAGAAGGCCUCUUAGACAAGACGGAAAUUGACGAGGUGGUUCUAGUUGGGGGUUCUACUCGUAUUCCUCGGAUCCGCCAAGUUAUUCAGGAGUUCUUUGGAAAGGACCCGAAUACAUCUGUAGACCCUGACCUGGCAGUGGUGACAGGAGUGGCCAUCCAAGCUGGGAUUGAUGGAGGCUCCUGGCCUCUCCAAGUUAGUGCUUUGGAAAUUCCCAAUAAGCAUUUACAGAAAACCAACUUCAACUGAACUGAGGGAGUGCUGGUAACUGACCCUGUCUUGGCGUGUUAAGGAUUUCCAUGUGACGCCUCCUCCAGAAAAGGAGUCCAUGAAGUCACUCAAAAAUUCCCAAAAGGACAUUUAUACAGGACAACUUUACAUAGUGUUUUGUUUUAGAAUCGAAUAUGACCAGAUGAGUCUUGUUUGGGUGUGCAAAAAAAAAAAGCUCAGUAUUUCUAAAGUAACAGAGUUGAGUAAAACUCUCCUGGAUUCUGGAAGUAGGUAGCCAUCCGCACUUACUAGUCUGGAAACUUUAAAUAGUGCCAACUAUGAGGCCCAAGUUCUUACUGAAUUUUAUUAGUAGGGGCUGAUAAUUUCUUUAUUUGGUUUUCACAUAUAGCUCUUAAGGACUUGAAGAACUGUUAUGUCAGGUAUUUACACUGGCUGGGAGAUAGCAGUAUUAUUAAACUGCAUAGAUAGUAUUCACCAACUGCCAUGUAAUUUGUACUUUCAAAAAUCCACUAUCUUUUUACAUAUUACAUCCUCCUAAUCUACAGAUUUUAAUAUAUUUGAAAGACCAGUUUUUCUUCCCAAAAUAGCUAAAGAUUUAUUCAGAUCUCUUUCUGCCAGAUAGUAGAACAUGCCCUGUUUAAACUGUAGUCUUUUUAUCUUCAGGGCGUCAUUUUCUGCUUGUAUUUUCACACCUCUGCUUUGUAAGAAUAAAAAAGACAGUAGAAAGUUACCAGUUGCCUUUUCAAAGCGUUGAUGUCACAAUAAAGCUGUAUUACUCUCUCCAUUUGUUUUUGCUAUCCAAGACCAUUGGGUAUUUGUAGCAGCUGUUUGGUUUUGGUUAUGUUGUUUCCCCUUUUCCCAGGAUCAAACCUAGAAAUGCAAGACUAUAGUCAAACUACUUUAGACAUUUAGGCAAGGGGCUCACAAGUUCAAAGCCUGUCUGAGCUACCCAGGAAGUUCUAGACCAAUAUAGGCAACUUAGUGAGAUCCUGUUGCUGUCUCAAAAGCUGAGAGGGAGAUAGGGAGGGGAGAAGAGAAGAAGCAAGCAAGCCAGAUGGCCACAAGGGCCAGUGAAGAAAAUACUCUAUGUUGACUUUGCGAUGCCCAUGUUAUUGGAAGAUAUAUGUCAUUAUAUUUGCUUUAAUGAAAGUAUUCACAUACAAGAAUUAUAUCCUGGCUAUCUUGUUCUUUUAAAGUAUAUCCUGUUUAUCAGUGUUGUAAUAACUAAAGAAGAGAACUAAAAUUUUGAAAAAGAUCAAGCACUUCAGCUUCCCAAAGAGUAAUGCUGGAAGGUGGUAGGAUUUGGUUUUGUUUUUUGUUUGUUUGGUUGGUUGGUUUGGUAUUUUUGCAGCUUUAUAAAAAAUUUUUUUUGCUUAGUAGUGAAGUUGCGAUUAAAUUAACAGUCAUUUCCAUGUACCAAAGCGCAUGCAAUUAGGUAGAUAGAAAAACAUAAAAUGCCGUGCUUUGAUUUUAGAACUAAUGGAGAAAUGCCAAAGAUGAGCCCUUCACAGCAUUGUGAAAAUAUUCAAGACUGUGAAUCUUUGAUUUUCAGAUUGAAAAACAUCUAGGAACAUGUUUGAGGCUACAUGUACUGCAGUCUCCACAUGUACUUGGAAUUCUCACGUUAGCCAUUUAGGAUUAUAAACAGCAAACUUGAAUUUCUCAGAUGUAUGACAACUCAAGACAUGAACAAAAUCAAUUUGCAGAAUGGAGCAGAUAAAUAAUACUAAAAUGGGAAGAUAAAUGUUUUUUUUUGAAAAAACAGGAUGGUGGUGUUGGAGGUGGGGCUAUGUAGUUAGCAUCCUCUUCCUUAGUAGUUACAAUGUUAAAACCAUGAAGGAAAUUGUCUUCAAUCAAUUGUUAGAGUCAUGUGUACCUAAUCCUGACACCAGUGUAGUUUAUUUAAAAGGUACAAAUGAAUCCUGAAAGGGGCCAUUUGUUAAAAUCUGAGAUCAUUUUUCAUAAAAUUUGCUUUUUAGUUGUACAUUUGGCUAAAUUUUUUUUAAGUAUGUAACUUUAAAAAUACUAAGUAAUAUGUAAUUUAUUUUAUAUCAAUGUUUUGGUACUAUGUUUUCACUCAAACCACUUAUCAGAUACCACUGUGUAUAAUAUGAAUUCAAUAUGACAGUUACUGUAUAGAACAGAUUGUGCCUCUUAAAAAUGUGUGUACAGGUAAUUCAUAUUUUGUUGUAAAUCUAUAGCAGUUUUGCUUUUAAAUUGUGUACUUUAUUUUCCACCCAUGACUAGCUUGGAGUAUAUUUUUGAUGUAUAUAAAUACAAAAAGAGAGAGAGCCGAUGUGAUGCUUACAGACAUUCACUAGCAAGUGAUAAAAUUUCAGAAGUGUCACAUCUUACUGCAUUUACUGCAUCCCGUGUCUCCUGGCAUUUCUGCAGUUUUCUGCAUAGUUCUCAUUUAGAAGAGCUAGUUCUUAUGUGAACAGUUUCUUUAGAACUUUGAUUAACAAGCUAUGGCUUGUAACCAGUGGAGUUAAAUGCUGACUUGAUCCACAAAGUUAAUGAGGCUGUGUACCCCCCCUCCAACUGUAAUCUUUUCAGUUGACAGUACUUCAUAAUUUUCUAAUAAAAUCUGUGUUAUUCUUUUGGACAAA